CAGUAAAGCUCCUAAAGACAAACUGUUAAAGGAGGAAACAAAGCAAACUUACAGUUUCUUCAAACACCAACAACAAGCUCCACUCCACACCUGGAGAGCUUCCUGGAAGGAGGCGAGACUCCACAUUAAGAGCGAAAGAGGGCCACCUUCAUGUGCUGGUUUUAAACAUAUGCCAUUUGACUGCUCAGACUGAGUCUAAGGCUGUCUCCAAAUUCAGGGAUUUAAUUGGCCCACCAUAUCCCAGGAUUUAUUGCGGGUCAUACAGGAGAAUUGUUCUCAUAAUAAUCGUGGACAAAGCGGGAGUUAAUGAAAAUUAAUGGAGAUACAAGAAUAAAUCAAGUUACACAUCAUGUUCAUAUUGAUUGAUUGAUUGAUUGAUUGAUCAUACUUUAUUCAUCCUGAGGGAAAUUGGGUUAAGGCUGCCAGCCGUGCCAGUGCCGUCUUACCCUUCCGACCAUACAUACAUUACACUGAAUAAAGGGGACUGGCCAUCUCUUGGAUUCAUGCAAGCAUCUUGCAUGAAUUUAACACAAUUGCCUCAUGUUUUAAGGUUAAAUGUAACUAUAUAGUGUAAAAACUACAUGAUAUGCAGAAAGGGUGUAUUCAAUUGUUCAUAUCAUGUUCAGUUGAAGUAAGUCAAUAAUAUAGCAACGUUAAAUCUCGUGAAACCACGUGUGAUUUCAUCUCGCGGGCUUUGGAUCGUGGUUUAAAAAAGGCAUCCAGCUCUGUCAAGUCGAGCAGUCAACUCUACCUUUUUUGGUAUGUCUUGAUUUUUUUUUAAUUAAUAUUUACCAUAUUUCAGUCAAAUAUAGUUAAACGUCUAGAGUGUCGCCAUGUAACAUGCUAAAAAAGAGCCGUUAGCUUAUUUGCUGUUUUAUCUGUUGUCAAAGAAUUGGCGCUUUUUCAUUUGAACUUGUCUUUGGCACAAGAGCCAUGAUAUCACAUUAAACCUAAUUACGAGGCGCUCAUAACAUAAUUUGGUUUUCUUUGUGACUAGAUUUGCCAACUUCUUCUUCAGUUACAUUGUGUAUUUACUGCUUCGUGGUGUUAGUGAGAUUUUGGACAUUGAACAGCUUUAGAUAACAUCAUCAGCGGCAUUAUGCUAACUUACAUCCCUACCCCUCCUGCCCUGACCUGCUGUUCUUUUGUUUUUUUGCUGCACAUAGAGAGAUGACCUCUAUUCUGCAUUUCACCAGGAGUCAGCUGAUGGACUGUGGGUUCAAGGUGUUAUGGUGAGAAAGUAUAUUCUAUUUUUGCUUAAGGUUUCUGUAAUUUAAUUAUAAUAGAUUUUUUUUUAAAUUAUUAGGUGCAUGCAUACUCAAACAGACCACCCUA
rnacentral:lncRNA from 1 species